rnacentral:rRNA from 1 species
GUAGCGGCGAGCGAACGGGGAGCAGCCCAGAGCCUGAAUCAGUGUGUGUGUUAGUGGAAGCGUCUGGAAAGGCGCGCGAUACAGGGUGACAGCCCCGUACACAAAAAUGCACAUGCUGUGAGCUCGAUGAGUAGGGCGGGACACGUGGUAUCCUGUCUGAAUAUGGGGGGACCAUCCUCCAAGGCUAAAUACUCCUGACUGACCGAUAGUGAACCAGUACCGUGAGGGAAAGGCGAAAAGAACCCCGGCGAGGGGAGUGAAAAAGAACCUGAAACCGUGUACGUACAAGCAGUGGGAGCACAGAGCAAUCUGUGUGACUGCGUACCUUUUGUAUAAUGGGUCAGCGACUUAUAUUCUGUAGCAAGGUUAACCGAAUAGGGGAGCCGAAGGGAAACCGAGUCUUAACUGGGCGUUAAGUUGCAGGGUAUAGACCCGAAACCCGGUGAUCUAGCCAUGGGCAGGUUGAAGGUUGGGUAACACUAACUGGAGGACCGAACCGACUAAUGUUGAAAAAUUAGCGGAUGACUUGUGGCUGGGGGUGAAAGGCCAAUCAAACCGGGAGAUAGCUGGUUCUCCCCGAAAGCUAUUUAGGUAGCGCCUCGUGAAUUCAUCUCCGGGGGUAGAGCACUGUUUCGGCAAGGGGGUCAUCCCGACUUACCAACCCGAUGCAAACUGCGAAUACCGGAGAAUGUUAUCACGGGAGACACACGGCGGGUGCUAACGUCCGUCGUGAAGAGGGAAACAACCCAGACCGCCAGCUAAGGUCCCAAAGUCAUGGUUAAGUGGGAAACGAUGUGGGAAGGCCCAGACAGCCAGGAUGUUGGCUUAGAAGCAGCCAUCAUUUAAAGAAAGCGUAAUAGCUCACUGGUCGAGUCGGCCUGCGCGGAAGAUGUAACGGGGCUAAACCAUGCAC